rnacentral:rRNA from 1 species
CUUAGUACGAGAGGACCGGGGUGGACGCACCUCUGGUGUCCCAGUUGUCGCGCCAGCGGCACGGCUGGGUAACCAAGUGCGGAGCGGAUAAACGCUGAAAGCAUCUAAGCGUGAAGCCGACCCCAAGAUAAGAUCUCCCACCUCUGGAGGCUAGAGGCUAGAAACUAGAUGCUGGAAAGGUCUUAUGAGGACUCCAGCGUCCAGGUUCCAGCUUCCAGCCUCCAGAGGGUAAGACUCCUCGUAGAUGACGAGGUUGAUAGGCCGGGGGUGUAAGCGCAGCAAUGCGUUGAGCCGACCGGUACUAAUCAGUCGAGGGCUUGACCUG